UUCCGGUUGAUCCCGCCGGACCUGACUGCUAUCGGAUUGAUACUAAGCCAUGCGAGUCAUUGUAGCAAUACAAGGCAUACGGCUCAGUAACACGUAGUCAACCUAACUUAUGGACGGGGAUAACCUCGGGAAACUGAGAAUAAUACCCGAUAGGUCAUGAUGCCUGGAAUGGUUUAUGACUCAAAUAAUUUAUUGCCGUAGGAUGGGACUGCGAGCUAUCAGCUUGUUGGUGAGGUAAUGGCCCACCAAGGCUAUUACAGCUACGGGCUCUGAGAGGAGUAGCCCGGAGAUGGGUACUGAGACAAGGACCCAGGCCCUAUGGGGCGCAGCAGGCGAGAAAACUUUGCAAUGCGCGAAAGCUCGACAAGGUUAAUCUGAGUGGUUCCUGCUAAAGGAACCUUUUGUUAGUCGUAGAACCACUGAUGAAUAAGGGGUGGGCAAGUUCUGGUGUCAGCCGCCGCGGUAAAACCAGCACCUCAAGUGGUCAGGAUGAUUAUUGGGCCUAAAGCAUCCGUAGCCUGUUCUGUAAGUUUUCGGUUAAAUCCAUAAGCUCAACUUAUGGGCUGCCGAAAAUACUGCAGAACUAGGGAGUGGGAGAGGUAGACGGUACUCGGUAGGAAGGGGUAAAAUCCUUUGAUCUAUUGAUGACCACCUGUGGCGAAGGCGGUCUACCAGAACACGUUCGACGGUGAGGGAUGAAAGCUGGGGGAGCAAACCGGAUUAGAUACCCGGGUAGUCCCAGCUGUAAACGAUGCAAACUCGAUGAUGCGUUGGCUUGUUGCUAGCGCAGUGUCGCAGGGAAGCCGUUAAGUUUGCCGCCUGGGAAGUACGUACGCAAGUAUGAAACUUAAAGGAAUUGGCGGGGGAGCACCACAAGGGGUGAAGCCUGCGGUUCAAUUGGAUUCAACGCCGGG
rnacentral:rRNA from 1 species